rnacentral:piRNA from 1 species
UGGUGAUAUUAGUUUGUUAAGGUCAACUA